UACGAAGGGGGCUAGCGUUGUCCGGAAUCACUGGCGUAAAGCGCACGUAGGCGGAUUGUUAAGUCGGGGGUGAAAUCCUGAGGCUCAACCUCAGAACUGCCUUCGAUACUGGCAAUCUCGAGUCCGGAAGAGGUUGGUGGAACAGCUAGUGUAGAGGUGAAAAUUCGUAGAUAUUAGCUAGAACACCAGUGGCGAAAGGCGGCCAACUGGUCCGGUACUGGAACGCUAG
rnacentral:rRNA from 1 species